AUUGAGGAAGGAGAUGCAUACUUAAUAUAUAUGUGAUGCACGGUUUGGUUCACAAAAACAAAAGGGUGAGAUAAUUCAUUAACCCAAAAAGAAACGUUUACAAGGGUGUUAUUGGUUUAUGUAUUUUAAUAGAUUUGAAAAUCUAAUCCAAGUCAAGUGUUAUUGGUUCUAUCAUUUUAAAACCUAAUUUCAAAUCUGUUGUUAUUGGUUUUAUGAUUUUAAAACAGAUUUUAAAAUCAACUGUUAUUCAAUACUAAUAAUUUGUUUGAGGAUUUGAUUUUGAUUU
rnacentral:lncRNA from 1 species